UUUGGCAGCCCAUCGUAUUUAUUAUUUUUUUUUUUCAGAAGUGAAGUGAAGAACCGUUACCGUAAAAUGGUCUCUGACAACGACUUCAUAUAAUGGUCUCUGAAAGUCGUAGAGUUAGGAAAUUGGCUUCAUUACGUAAUAGUGCCCGCUUUUCGACUGGAGCUGCUGGAGCUUAAUGCUUAAAUUAACUGACAUGUGGCACUAUGCGUGUUCGGGGUCAUGGUGAAAAGCUAUUGUUGAUAGCUAGCUGUCGCUUCGCUAUUUAGUUUCGGUUCUGGCGCGACAGACCAAGCCAUACAUAUUGCUCCAGCUUGCCAAGCCAAUGCAGAUCAGUGGAUUCGUCACAGUUUUCCUAGUUUUUUUCAGAGAACUACUUUGUUAAGAAAGCCAAGCAACUCUAUAGGAAACAAAAUGAAAGAAGGGGAACUUAAUUGAGCCAUUCAUUUGAAUACCAGCUGAUGAAGCAGACAAGGCUGUCUGCAAAAGGAAUAUAGUUGUUUUAAUAAUAAACUUAAUAGUUGUUUAAACAUGGUUUUUAGCAUGUCAAUCAAGAAUACAUGUGGAUGUCGAUAUUCAAAUACAGCAACCUUACAUCAAGCAGCUGUUAAAGGAGAACUUGGUAAAGCCAUUCAAUUAGAUUCCAGAUUAUAGCUGCUAAAACAGACAAGCUAUCUGUGGAAUCUCCAAUGUUAAAAUCGGGUUUUUAUCAUAUCUGCUUAGAGUACUUUAUUUUGUUUUAAAGAUUUACAGGUAUUCUGUAGACCAGGUGUCGGCAACCUAUGGCACUUGGUACGAUUUGCAGUGGCACUUUACACCACUGUACCCAGUUAUCAGAUAAAUUGCCAUGUCUCUCCUCUCUGCACUGCCCCAUCUUAUGCAUGCACCUCAUGCAUUUUCUUUCCUUUUGUUGCUCAAUGCUCGAGUAUCGAGUAUGUUUUCAGUUGAAAGUAGAAUUUAGUUCGAUGCACGUCAUGUGCUUAUAGGCUACUUUUAACUUUAUGACAUGUUCUUAGUUUUAUUGUGAAAAAUUGUAUUUUAUUUGUUUAAUUAUUGGGAAAAUUCAUACGUUCAUAUUUAAUCAAAUGGCAAGUAAUAAAAGAAGCUUGAUAUUUGCAAUUUUCAAGACUCUUGGAUGGAUGAAUAUAGAUUCACACUAUAAAACAAUCGUGCUGUAUGCAGGGUUGCAACACUACCGGGAAAAAUCAGUCAAAAUCUGGAAAAGUCAGGGAAUUUCAUAUGGCGAUUAAAAAAAAAAAAAAAAAAAAGAGUUUGCGCCGACGUUGGAAGCAAUCACUUUCUUGGCGAAUUAUGUAUCAUGUGAGCAUCAUUUGGCCAGCUGGCAUAGAGCCAAUUUUUGCAGCUCCAGUUAGAUUCUUUAAGAAAGGCAAAGCAAGUCUCCAGUAACCUCAAGAAUUGAGAUACUCGCAUGCACAUGUGCAUGUUGAACUAAAGAAAAUACGUAUUCUCGUAUAAAACAAAAUCAGUUUAAUCUCAUCGGUUUAAUCAUGGAGGUUAGAAUAGCCUCCAUGUACGAUGCACACAUGACUUGGCGACAUUAUGAUGAGCAGUAAACGGGUCAUUUCAAAAUCCUGCCAAGGCUGUAGCGUAUACUAGGAUUUUACCGCAAAAUCUUUUAAACCCUUUUUUUUUUUCUUUUUAAUAAAUGCCUUAUUUGUCAUUUUGCAGUAAAAUAAAAAAUAGUAAUCAGUCACCUAGCUAACCAUUUAAUAUAACUAUAUUCGGCAAAAUAUUGUUGAUUCUCUGCCAUAAUCCUGAAACUAAUUCUAGCAGUAUGAUGACAUAUCACGACGAAAUUUAUUGCACAUAUUUUUUGUUUAUGUAUGCUGCUAAAUAAAUAUAAAAUACCUGAAUUUAUUUUAAAAUAUUAAGUAGAUUUCUUUCUUUCGUUUAGCUGCAAAAUGCCUGCAAGAAAAGACAUUUUCUAAUCCAGAUUGGGUAGAUUCUAAUCUCAAUCUUCAAUGGAGAAAACAACUCCUAUUAUAGUUAUAAUAGUAAUGAUUUGAGGAUUAUAUAUAUAAAGUCAUGUAAUGACAGAUUUUUGUAUUUCCAAGUGGUACCAUAAUUAAUUUACCUCUUAGCCCAGCCAACGUGCAUUACGAUAGACUGGAAUUUUCUUAAAACACACCUGGAAAAGUCAGGGAAUUUCAUUCUCGUGUUUAAGUGGCAACCCUGUGUAUGUGUAUUAUGUUGCAAAAACAUCAUAUGUUGCACGUCAGCUGUACAAAGGCAUUUUCAAACUAAACGUCAGUCCACAUUUCAGAAUGUGGAUAAGACAUCAAUGUAGAUGAGACAAUGUGGAUGAGAUCACGAUGAGAAAUGUGGACUUACAAAAAGAGCUGUUUCUGGGUAUAUGAAUACAUUUUUUGUCAAACAAUUCAAACGAAACCUAAAGUGGCCGAAUGUAGUUUUGUAAUUGCUCACUAUGUAACUGCUAAAGGCAAGUCUUUCACAGAUGGCAAAUAUGUAAAGGAUACAUUUUUAAAAAGUGUUGAAAUAUUGCCCAGCGAUUUACCAAGUCUACAAACAAUAUUAUCUUGAAUUCAAGAAAUACAUGCUUUUGUACAAACUAUUGAAAGACAUAAUUCAAAUAGCAGAAAAUGGAACAACAAAACAUAAUUCUGGAUUGCAAGAAAUGUUGCAUUUAAUGUUUCUCUUGGUGAAAGACCCAAGUGAAUGAUGUUUCGUGCCUUGUGGUAAUUGCACGACAUUUAGGUAAAGAUCAAGUUUAUGAAGAAUUAUGCAGCUUGAUUCCUCUAUCUGAGGCAACUAAGGGAUAGGAUAUUCUUUCUUCAUUUAUAAAUUAUUUUGAAAGUAAGACAUUAAUAUAAAUAAAAUAUUUUGUGUAACUACUGAUGGAUCUUCUGUUAUGGAUGGCAAAGAAAAAGGAUUUGUCAAACAUCUUGAAAAUCAUAUUGAACAUCCAUCGCAUAAUACAUCAGAAAAGUUUAGUUCCCAAAAUUUCAUCACAGUGCUUAAUUUCUGUAAUGAGCCCUGUUGUUAAAAUAGUUAAUUUCAUAGUGUCUUGUUCUGCAUUGCUACACAGCAAUUUAAAUCUCUUAGAAGAAAUGGAAAGUUAGUAUGGGGAUCUCCCCUUAUACAGCUAUGUCCAUUGGCUUAGUUGAGGUAAUGUAUUGAAUAAGUUUGUCAUGCAUGGAACACAUUAAAGUGCUUUGUAAUGAGACAAAAGGACAUUUCCCCAAAUUGAUAUUUCCAACUGAUAUAACUAAACAUCUCAACUAAACUUAGGGUUGCAAGGAAAGGGCCAAAAAGUGCACAAACUUUUUAUAUUGGAAAAGCUUUAUUACAAAAUAAAAUAUAUUUUCUCGUGAUAUUAAUACAAAUAUACCCCAGAAAAUGCAUCCAUCACAGACAAAAAUGAACUUCAAACCUAUGUUGAAGCACUUAAAGGAGGCGUACAAGCUUAUGUUGUUUGAUUAGUCAAACCAGAUUUAAUAGACCUAUUACCAAUCUCAUAUGAUUUUUCUGUUUUUGAAUGGAUGGGAGUUGAUAAUUUUAAAAUGUAAUUUAUUGAACUAACAUUUUCAGAGUUAUGGAAAUCAAAAUUUGUGGAAUUACAAAAAAGUCUGGAAGAUAACUCUAACGAUAAAUGACAGCUAUUUGAAAUUGCUAGAUGACAUUGCCAGAGAUAUUUAAUUUUUUGAAGGAAAUUAAACGUGCUUUGCUUUCCACUGUUGGUUCUACAUAACUACAUGAACAAAUCUUUUCUCAUAUGAAAAAUAUUUUGGGUCCGCAAAGAAGUUGUUUAACAAAAUUCAGAAUCAUGUGUUAAAUUUAAAGUCACAAAUUAUACCCCUGAUAUUGCUGUAUUAGGUAAAGCGAGGCAAAGGCAAGCUUUGCUUUAAAAUGUUAAUUUUUUAUUUAAAUAUCUUGAAGGAAUACUUAUAUUUUAUGUUGAUUAUUUUUUAUUUUAAUAUGUUUAAAAGAUACAUAAUAUGUGUAAAAUUAAAAUUUUUUAUUUAGGUUGAAGGAAUAGUUAUAUAUUAUGUUGUUUGUUUUUAUGUUAAUAAAUAUGUAAUUAAUAUAUAAUAAAACUCUAAAUCUGUAUUCUUGACCUCUAUUCCCUAACUCAACAUGCAUUGCCGUGGGAAUUGAAUUGUUUCAGAUAUCCCCCCCGUGCAGCAUCCUGAAUCAUAUUGGUAGAUUGCUUUACCGCACCACAGGUACAAGGUUGCCGACCCCUGCUGUAGACCAUUUGGAAACCACCUAAGAUAUAACAAGAUUUCCAUAGCAUUGAAAAGAAGCUAUAUCAUACAUUCUUUGUGGGAAUUUACCAAAAAUGCUUUUUUUUUAAGCUGCAGUUCAUCUGUGAAGAAUUCAAAAGUUAAUUUACACAUGCCAGUUUCAGAAUUUAAUUUUGUUUUUGAAUAAACUUGAGAUGCAAUCUUUAUUUGAUACAUAAGUCUACUAUUUUACACAGUUACAACUUACCAAAAGGAAAAUAAUCAUCUUUUGUGCAUAGACGGUGAACAUGUAUAAGCAGUUAGGAAUUGUGAUUGCUCUUAAGCUGAUGUUACAUGCCAGUUUGGCAUGAAGGCCAAAGUUCAGUUGAUUUAUACACAUUUUUGCAUUAAGGCAAUAGUAUCAAAUUGUUUCAAAAGUAUUCUUUUGGUAUAUUGUUUAAAUAUUCUACCUUGAAACAAUGUUUAUUUUUGCUAGGAUAUUAUAGGCUGCUCAUUUGUACAUUUUGACUAAUUAAACUGAAAGAUAAAAUUUGUGAAGUUCUUUUAGUUUUGUAACUCUAGAAGUGAUGUAGAACAAAGAUAAUGCUCAUUCUGACUACCAUAUGUAAAUUUUGUGUUUAGAAAAUGCGAAAAUUGCUUAUUUGUCAAUGGUCUGUUAAGCAGAAGAUGAAAUAUUUUUAUGAAUUAUUUAUGCAAUUUUAAAAUGUCUGAUUUAUGUCCAAGUGUAUAUAGGUAUGAAUUUCUGUGUAUAUAAAUAACAGAUCUUACUGAUGCAUGAAUAAGCACAUCAAAGUACAGUUUUUAUUUUGAACAUUUUAUUAAAAUUUUAACUUAAAGUACAAAACUACAGGUAAAACAGUGUUAUUUAAAGAAGCUUAAGUAAAAAGAAAAAUUCUUACUCUCAAUCAUUGCUUAUUCCAAGAACAUGUUCUUUUAAUUAUAAAGUGUAGUAGUUGUUGGAUACCAUAUAAAACAGUGACCUAAAAAUUUUUAAAUUGGCAUUAAUAUCUGAAGAUUUAACCAGUCUGAAAUUUCAUUAAUAUCACUGUUUACUCAAAAUUCCACUUGCGGUUACUAUUUGUUAUUGGUACUUGUAUAGUAGAAGAAUUCAAAUUACUGUAAUAAGAGUUUGGUACUAAAUACCUAUGUUAUAAAAAUAUGCAUAAAAUCAACAUUUAGGAACAGAGAAAAAGAAACCGCCGCCCAACCGUUGUAGUGGUUAGCAUUGCUGACUGUCGUGCCGAAGGGCCUGGUUUCAAAUCCCAGAGAAGGCAUGGAUAUUUGUAAGUGUAUAGUGUCCAUGCAGCAUGGGGGCACUUUAAUAUGCUGCAAGCCGAAAGUCACCAACAUUGUGCUAGUCAUUCCUAUGGAAUUUUGAAGCAACUUAUUAAUAAACUGUUAGUAUUUGACCUGCUUUGUUUUUUGCACUUCGCUUUUGUCGAUUUCUAUUAUUUUGUUGGAUACUCUGGUUUUACUGAAAAUUCUGUUUUGCAUGCUGUGGGUACGUACUUCCUGCAGGUAAUAGUUCUGCUGUAUUGCAGAUUUAUCAGCCAUAUUCCAUUGACUAUAUCAUGUCCAUUAAUGAAAGCUUUUUUAUAGUAGGAUACCAUAACCUUGGAAAUAAUCCACUGUUUGCUAUUAUGUGUAAAAGGCCGGUCCCAUAUUUUCAAACUGCAAGAAAAAAUGCAGCAAUAACAGCUAAUUUAUAUCCUUGUUCAUGAAAACAUGAAUUGACAACUAUUUGGGUUAACAUCGUAUGAAAUGAGUAUGUUGUUGCACCCCACUUAUCUGUACCUGACAUUAAUUAAAUCACACUGCUUGGUGAUGGUUUCGUGGUCGACAAGAUAAUGUUUAAGUACCAUCAGCUGUGCUCUCAUUGGGAUUUGAACCAUGAAUCUUGUGCAUGCUAACAGUUAUGCAUGAGAUUAUGUACAGAGAAAUGCACUUUCUUUUAUUCAUCCCUAUGUUAACUGAGAAGAUCCAGUUGACCAAAUACAACUGAUGACAAAAUUGGCCUCCCCACCAAUAGGAGCAGCAGACAUGAAAAAUUAAUUAUACCCUUACUAGGAUUUGAACCAUGAAGCUUAUGGAUUAUUCCUUGUAUCUUAAUUUAAUUAAAUAUGUGGCAUAACAUAACCAUUAACCUCAAAGUAAAACUGGAAUGAGUAGAAAGUGAACUGCUCUGUAUGGCUCAGCCUGACAUUUAGAAGAGUGUCAUCCAGAGUAGUUAUUUAAAAACUGUCAAAAUGUAGAUUGUUUUAUGUAAAAUGUUCAAAACAUUGUUAUUGUUAAUUUAUUUUAAAAAUAUGACUGGUUUCAGCAGAUGUAAUAUCAGUUGGUAUUUACAAGAAAAUUUCACAUUUUUACAAUGUCAGUUCCCCCUCCAUAUUUUGUCAUUUUCCUCAAUAUGUAUUAUUUAAAUGCAGUACUAAUAUAUUUUAGAACUGGGAGGCUUUAAUUAAUGAUAAAAUGCAUUAAAACAUAUUAUUGGGAGUUUUUAGCUUGGUGUGUGAAGAAUUUAGUUCUGUAAUUUAUAAUUGGACAUGAUUGUUAUUCCAAAAACAUAUAUUUGAAAGAUUUCUGAAACUUUCCUGAUGUAAAUGCUUAUUAAAUGCCAAAUAUGUAAUUUUGAUAGCUUUUAUUAAAUUUAAAAUUAAGUGUUUAUUAAUUGAUGUAUAUUCAAACUUAAGUUGUUUGUGGAAAUUCCAGAUUGAUUUGGGAAAUUUUAUGUUGUAAAAGCUCUUAAAAAAUAUUUUUAAAAUGAUUAAACAUGUAUUUAUUAAAUUGAGUGCAGAUUUUUGAAUGUUAUAUCAGCAGUUUAUUCAUGAUAUAGUUUAAAUGCUUAUUGCUUAUUCAUAAAAAGUGUGUUCUUCGUAAUUAUCUUAUGAAUAAAUGUUAAAAACAUGCUUGAUAAAAUAUUUAAGCAUGUUAAUGAAUUUUUAUGUAGGGAAGUGAAGUUAAAUAUGUCUGGAUACAAAAAUAUCUGAAAUAAUUUCAGUGUAGCUUUGAUUAUUAAAUUUUUAAAAUAUUAAAAGUUGCCAAUAAAUGUUAUGUUGCCAUGCAGCAGUAAUUUGAUAAAGGCCUUCUGAAGCUACACAAAACAUAUAGUUAGAAUUAGUAAUUUUUCUCUCAACAACUAUAUGUGCAACUAAGAAACAUUUAAGUAUGAUCCUGUGGCAUUUUGUAUGGAAACACCUUCCAAAAGGCAAUAUUAAGGGAUUUUAAUGUUAGCUUCUUUAAAAUGUGAUGGUCUUUUUAAUAGAAGGCUUUGUACUGAUAUAGAUUAUAAUUUGGUUCAUGCUUUUCAUCAGAAAUAAGAUGCUUCAAAGCUUGUAAUAUUGCUUAAAGAAACUGUAUGUUGUUUUACAAGAAAAAGCUAUGAACAGUUUCAAUUUGUUUACAUUUAAUAUGACCCUAAAAGAAGCAUUUAAAACAAAUGCACAAAAAAAAAAAUUUUUUUUCAUAGUUUAAAAACAACAGAAUAAAAAACAGAUUAAAAUAGAUAAAUUACUGCAAUAUGUAGAAAACAUCACUAUUGCUUUGCCAGUAAGAAAACUCUUAUUGGCCUCAUUGCAGUGUUUGAUUGUAACAAGGUCUCUGCAAACAUUGUUACUAAGUGCAGCUCUAUUUUCAGAAACAGAAGCUAUUUUUUAAUCUAUCUGCUGAAUGCGAAAUAAUGUUUUCUUUUCUUGUGAGUAUGAAGAAAUUCAAGAAAUAUGCUCUUUUUUAACAAAUUGCAUGGCAUCCAGAAAUCUGCUCUAUUAUAAUGCCCUGUAUGCCAGUGUUUUGUAUGCUUGUUACUUUUAUGUAUUUUAGAAAAUACUGAUACUUUUUGAGGCAAUGAUACUUGACAUUGAGCAAUACCAAGAUGCUCAUUCCAGUUUUACUUAUAGCUAUGUUGUGAUAAGCUGUUAUCAAUUUGGCUGCUGAUAAAUAGUUCUCUAAUUAUUAUUCAUGUAAUAACAUUUAAAAAUCUAAUUUCAGGACUGGUUGAACGUCAUAUCAGUAGAUGCAGUUUGUUAAAAAUUGGAGAUAGAUAGAGCCAUGAGAGGAUAGAUAGAGCCUAUAGAUUAUGAUAGAGAUGAGAGGAUUUUCUAUGACAUGCAACUAGCUAUUUAAAAAGUAAAAUUUAAGCAUAAAUAAAUUUUGUGCUGCUCAAUUUACUGUUGUGGAAAGGUAUGUUCCCACAGUAUAAAUUUUAAACUUUCCUGCAUUAUAUUAAAUUUUAUUUUCAAAUAAAAUGCCAAAUUUUUCUUUUGUUUUCCUUCUGCAUUCAGAUAUAAGUAUUUAAUAAAUUUAGUAGGAAUUGAAUAAAAUUAAAGUGGUUAUAGUGAUUGUAAUAAUUAAGUAAAAGCUUUUUAUAAUAAGGGGGAUUAACUAAUGCAGUAGUUUGGAAAAGGAACAAUUAAUUUUCUUUACUCUUUAUCCAUGUUCCUUCCUUUGGAAAGAAUAAAAACAAGUGUUAUGAAAUAUUGUGAGCUUCUGAAAAACUGCAAUUAUGAAAAUCAUUCUAGAGUACCAGCUUAUCAAGGUUUUUUCAUUAAAAAAUGUUUUUGCUAGCAUGAUCAUCAACAUGUGGAGAUACAUUUAGCAUUAAAUCAGUUGGUACUUGUGCUUCUCUAUCAGCCAUAAAGUAAGCAGAGAUGAGUCAAGUGAGUAUGGGUCACUUAUUUAGGCACCUAGGCUGGAAGCCUUAUCUUGUGUAGAGCAAAAUGUAAAAACGUUCCAUGGCUUUUUGUAGUGAGCAUAAAGAAAAUGGUGAUAGCUGAGGAUGUACAUGAGUCAUACAUUGUCAAAUGUUAAACUCUGUUACUGAAAAAUUACAGAGGCUAAUAAAGUUCAUGAUAACAAUGCAUGGUAGAUAAUAAAGCAGUUAUUAGCAUGAGUCAAAAUUGUUAUCUGAAGAGCAUUGUGGAGUGGUAUGUUGCAUGCUUGUUAGUUAAAACUCAAAUGACUGACUGCUGGGCAUCUUGACAUGUGAUUUGAGAGUAACAGGAUUGGUAGUGGGAAGAAUUUAUUAAUACCAGAAAUUCUGGCAUUGGUGAGGGGCUGGAGUUCUCUCAAGUGCAUUUUGAGGAUUGGCCAAAAAAUAUAGGGAAGAGGAAAAAUAAAUUAACAAUAAAUUAAAUACUAAAUAAUUACUAAGAUACAUUCAGUACAAGAAUUGAUUAUUAAUAUAGUUAAAUUAAGUGAAGUAAGAUGGCUUCUGGCUGUCUACAAUUGCUGGAACCUACAUAGCCGUAAUCUAGUACAGUAACUGAAUCAUUAACUCUGUGUUGCUAAAGAACAUUUUGUGAUGCAAAUUAUUAAUAUAAUUAGUUCCUUAUGAAUACACCGGUUUGCUAUAAAUCACCUACUUAUUUGUUGAAACUUAUAUUUUUCAGUAUUUAAAGCUGCUUACUUUUCAGGUAUAAUCCCAGAGAGUCAGGCAUAUGUAAUUAUAGAACACAAUGUAGUCUUGGAAAUGAGUAACUUAUCUAAUGAGAGAACUCACUUUCUUGCAAUGAAGGGUUUGAGUUUAACAUUAGAGGCCCAAAAUUUGGAGCAGAUAUAUGUAACGUUUAGGGUUCAUGUGAAUCAUUGAUCUAAAAUAACACUGAAGUAUUUGAUUUCCUUCGUCCACCGGAUAACUGCAUUGUACAUACUGAUGUUGAGAUCCACGUUGUGCUUCCAGGGGAAUAAUACAGCUUCCAGUUUAUCUACAUUGAUUUUAAUUAGUUUCUGUUUAUUUAGUCAGGAUUCCAGCACAUGAAUGUGCCUUUGUUAUGCUUGUAUGAUUGAAUACAGUGACAUACUUAGGGUGAUGUUGCCAUGUCAUCUGCAUACAUGGCAAGUAUAAUGUUAGGCGUAUCCAAGAUGUUGCUCGCAUAAAUUGUGAACAAAGUAGGCCCAAUUAAAGACCCCUGGAAGAUGCCCACGAGUAUUUGCUGGUAAGAAGAAGAAAUGUUUUUGUCACAAAUAACAAAGAAUCUGUCUUUGAGAUAGGAAAAUAUGAUUAGUUUGUAAGUUGGCAAAGAUGCCAUCAAACUUGCACCACUCAUCCUAGCAGGAGUUUGAAGAAGUAGAUUGUUUUAUAUUUAAAUGCAUAAUCGCAGAGUGUACCUUAUAAACUGGAUAAUCAGCAGAUACAAAGUUAUGAAUAUAGCAUAUAAAAAUAAAUAAGAGCUCAAGUUUUGAAAUUAUCUGCCAUUCAUUAAGUCUUAUGCCAAUCAUUCCAGUGGCCUAAACUCUGUAAUAAUAAUUAAAUAAUAAAAUAGUCAUCUUUGUAAAGUAGCCACAACAUAAGUUCCCUUAAAUAUCAAAUGUAAGGGGUAUUAUGUGGUUGCAAAGUGUCUUUUACUGUACUAUUUUGCUUAACCCUAGAAAUUUCAGUGUUUUGAGUAUGCACACCAUUAUAAACAGUACCAUAACUCCACUCAUGUUCUGUAGAAAACAGGCUCAGAAUUUGAGUAAGUUUUUUUCAGAAUGCAAAAGAAAAAUAGAUACAGCAGUUAACUUAUAUCCGCCUUUACGAAAACUAAACAGGCUGACUGAGGAUUGAGGGUACAAAAUAUGAAGCAGUGAACUUGAUUGUGUUGCAACAUCGUGCUUAUUUAUAUUUGUGCUAAAUUGCUCUGUUUAGCAACAGGGUUUUUUUUUUUUUUUUUGGUCAAAAAUAGUCAGUGGAAAAGUACUUAUUAACCAAUCAUUUCAUUCAUCAAUUAAAUGUUUGUAGUUUUCACUAAUACAGCUGCUACUAUACAUAUCUUUAGUGCUGUUCCGGAACAUUUAAGGUGCAUCAGUGAUAAAGCAUGUAAACAGUGUAUGGCUAAGCUGUUUGUCCUCAUAAACCUAUCCAAUUUUCAAAAUUACAUUGUCAUGGCUGGAAGUCAUUAUUAAAAAUUAAAUUAUUAAAAUUAUUUUUUUAUUUAUUGCUGUGACAAUUAGCACAUGAUGCACAUUUCUAAAUUAUAUUGAAAAUUUGACGUGCAUAUUGCAGUUUACUGAUUAUUGACAGUGUGCACUAUAGCAUGGCAUAUUUUUUACAAAUUGUAACUACAUUUCAAAAAUAAAAUUUCUACUAGAAGUAAAUUAAAAGGUGGUCAAUAUAGACAGUUUCUUGGUACUUUAUUUAAAAUAUAUUUGAAAUCAUACUGAAAUGUGUUAUUUUAAAUUUUAUUUAAAUAAAUUUGCUUUGAAAUGUAAUUUGUUUCUAAUAAAUUACAUUUGUUUCAAAUGUAAUUUUGAAUUUGUUUCUAAUAAAUGUCUUUUUUUGUGUGAUGUGUUUAACUCUCCAUCUGGCCAAGCAAUGUAUUUAUGUCAAUAACAUUUUUCCUAACACCUUUAAGUAAUUAUGUACAUACAUAUCAAAGUACAUGUAAACAGUUUAUUCUCUCUCUAUAUAUAUAUACAUAUUUAUAUACAUAUUUUAUAUCUAUUAUACAUAUUUAUAUAUGUAUGUAUAAAAAGUUUCAAGUUUGAAAUGGCAGGGGCAUUUUGCAGUAAAAUUAAGAAAAUACAUCUUUCUUAUAGCAUUUUUGCUAACUUUGAGGUUUGAAGUCAAACACUUGGCUAACUGGAGGGUUAACUUGUGUGACGGGGGGGGGGGCAGACACUACCAAGUAUAAAUUUAACACCAAUAAAAUAAUGUAAUAUGUAAAACCUAUUUAUAUUUUAAACGGUAUUAAAUAAAAGAUUUAAUUCUCUUUAAAUAGAUAACUUGUGUGAAGAGGGGGAGACACUACCAAGUAUAAAAUUAACACCAAUAAAAUAAUGUGAUAUGUAAAACCUCUUUAUAUUUUAAAAGGUAUAAAAUAAAAGAUUUAAUUUUUUUUAAAGAUAAGUUAUUUAGAAAUUUCUAAUUUUCGUACGUUUUUUGAAAACACCUAAUGCUGUAAUAAUGGUCAUAGUUUUUUUUCCCCAGAUCAGUACAAUUUUAUAAAAACUGUUUUGUACAUUAUCUUACAGAUGUGCAUGCUUGAUGUCAAAAAUAAAAACUUAAGGCAUUUGCAGUAUUCUUUUAACUGAUGUUUUAUUGAUAAUUUUUCUAUCAUGUAUAGACAAAGUGUGGUGAAAUGAUAUACUGGUUUCUGUAACUAUAACAAGAGUUAUGUAAAACAGAAAGUUUCAUUUGUUUAGAAAUUUUAGUGUAAUGUUCUAUAUAUGUAAAGUAGGUGGUAAGAUGCGUUCUCGCACAUUUUAAAAUCAAUUAUUUUUCCCUGUAUCUAGUUGUACAAAGAAAUUCUACAAAAUUGUUAUUAAUUCUAAUAUGCUUUAAUUGUUAGCAAGUAUAUAUUUUAAAAAUUUAUAAUGAAAUUUGUAAUUUUUAUAAUUUACAUUUCAGUGAUAUUUUUGUGUACUUUAAAAAAAAUAAAUGUUGAAGAUUAACAAAUGUUAAAAAUAUAUUUGCAUAUUUUCCCCCUAAUAAAUAUCCUUUUCCCCCUCCCAAUGCCCUGUCUGUAUAAUUACAGUUGAAUUCUUUUUGCCCUGUAAAGAUGGAAAUUAUGCAAUAAUUUUUGUAACCUGAUACAUGAGUUAUGCGGAACUUAAUUUUUCAGAGGUUCAAAGCAGGUUAUUUCACAUAUUGAAUGGUAAUAAAUUUAGUAAUUUUAUCUGAAAAUUACGGAAUUUAAACCUUAUUUAUUCCAGUAUGCAUUGUAAUAAAUUUGUUGUACCAGUUGUUAAUAGAAAGUCAUUAUUUCAACUAAAUUAACUAAUAAAAAUCUUGGCACUAAGAAUUAUGUUAUUGAAAUAGGUAAUAGAAAUUUAUUGUUUGAGUAAUAUUGAAUACUCUGAAUGCCUGGUGACUGGAGAAUUACUGAAACAAAAUGUGUUAAUAAAACAAAAGUGCAUUUGUG